rnacentral:rRNA from 1 species
GUAGGGAAUCUUGCGCAAUGGGCGAAAGCCUGACGCAGCCAUGCCGCGUGAAUGAUGAAGGUCUUAGGAUUGUAAAAUUCUUUCACCGGGGACGAUAAUGACGGUACCCGGAGAAGAAGCCCCGGCUAACUUCGUGCCAGCAGCCGCGGUAAUGCGAAGGGGGCUAGCGUUGCUCGGAAUUACUGGGCGUAAAGGGCGCGUAGGCGGACAGUUUAGUCAGAGGUGAAAGCCCAGGGCUCAACCUUGGAAUUGCCUUUGAUACGGGCUGUCUUGAGUACGGGAGAGGUGAGUGGGACUCCGAGUGUAGAGGUGAAAUUCGUAGAUAUUCGGAAGAACACCAGUGGCGAAGGCGACUCACUGGCCCGUUACUGACGCUGAGGCGCGAAAGCGUGGGGAGCAAACAGGAUUAGAAACCCCAGUAGUCC